ensembl:misc_RNA Metazoa_SRP Metazoan signal recognition particle RNA
GCCGGGCGUGGUGGCGGGCGCCUGUAGUCCCAGCUACUUGGAGGCUGAGGCGGGAGAAUGGCAUGAACCCAGGAGGCGGAGCUUGCAGUGAGCCGAGAUCGCGCCACUGCACUCCAGCCUGGGUGACACAGUGAGACUCCGUCUCAA